rnacentral:pre_miRNA from 1 species
AAUAGAUGACGCCGUUGACUUUUUCUCACAUGUUUGACCAUUCGUCUUAUUUAAAAAAAUUUCGUAAUUAUAAUUUAUUUUGUUACCAGUUGUUUUAUCACUCAUAGUAUUUUAAGUGUGAUUUAUAUCUUACACAUUUAAAUAAAAUUUUUGAAUAAGACAAAUGGUCAAACAUGUGAGAAAAAAAUCAACGGCGUCAUCUAUU